UGUGUGUUAGUGGAAGCGUCUGGAAAGGCGCGCGAUACAGGGUGACAGCCCCGUACACAAAAAUGCACAUACUGUGAGCUCGAUGAGUAGGGCGGGACACGUGGUAUCCUGUCUGAAUAUGGGGGGACCAUCCUCCAAGGCUAAAUACUCCUGACUGACCGAUAGUGAACCAGUACCGUGAGGGAAAGGCGAAAAGAACCCCGGCGAGGGGAGUGAAAAAGAACCUGAAACCGUGUACGUACAAGCAGUGGGAGCCUCUUUAUGGGGUGACUGCGUACCUUUUGUAUAAUGGGUCAGCGACUUAUAUUCUGUAGCAAGGUUAACCGAAUAGGGGAGCCGAAGGGAAACCGAGUCUUAACUGGGCGUUAAGUUGCAGGGUAUAGACCCGAAACCCGGUGAUCUAGCCAUGGGCAGGUUGAAGGUUGGGUAACACUAACUGGAGGACCGAACCGACUAAUGUUGAAAAAUUAGCGGAUGACUUGUGGCUGGGGGUGAAAGGCCAAUCAAACCGGGAGAUAGCUGGUUCUCCCCGAAAGCUAUUUAGGUAGCGCCUCGUGAAUUCAUCUCCGGGGGUAGAGCACUGUUUCGGCAAGGGGGUCAUCCCGACUUACCAACCCGAUGCAAACUGCGAAUACCGGAGAAUGUUAUCACGGGAGACACACGGCGGGUGCUAACGUCCGUCGUGAAGAGGGAAACAACCCAGACCGCCAGCUAAGGUCCCAAAGUCAUGGUUAAGUGGGAAACGAUGUGGGAAGGCCCAGACAGCCAGGAUGUUGGCUUAGAAGCAGCCAUCAUUUAAAGAAAGCGUAAUAGCUCACUGGUCGAGUCGGCCUGCGCGGAAGAUGUAACGGGGCUAAACCAUGCAC
rnacentral:rRNA from 1 species